ACAAUGGAGGUGAGUACACUUCAAGUGAAUUUGAAGAGUACUGUUCAAGUCAUGGGAUUAGACAUGAAAAGACAGUUCAUGGAACCCCACAGCACAAUGGUGUAGCCGAGAGGAUGAACCGCACUAUCGUGGAGAAGGUGAGAAGCAUGCUCAGAAUGGCUAAACUACCUAAGUCAUUCUGGGGUGAAGCAGUUCAAACAACCUAUGGAACCCCACAGCACAAUGGUGUAGCAGAGAUGAUAAACCGCACUAUUGUGGAGAAGGAGAGAAGCAUGCUCAGAAUGGCUAAACUACCUAAGUCAUUCUGGAGUGAAGCAGUUCAAACAACCUGUUACCUGAUCAAUAGGAGUCCAUCAGUUCUAUUGGCGUUUGACAUCCCAGAGAGAGUUUGGACUAAUAAGGAGGUGUCCUACUCGCAUCUAAAGGUGUUCGGUUGCAGAGCUUUUGCACAUGGAUCGAAAGAGCAGAGAACAAAGCUGGAU
rnacentral:lncRNA from 1 species